UUUUAGAUCUCCCUAAACUGACUGACCCGAAGACUUGGAGAUCCAAUCUCAACUAGGACUAAGGCAUCAGUACCAUAGGGCAGUCUGAAAGGUGAAUCCCCUGUUGUAGUCCGGUAAGCCCAUAACACACUGAGCAGCUCUUCUGGCCAUCUUCCUUUAGCUUCAUCCAAUCUGCGUUUGAUCCCAUUCAGCAGCGUUCUGUUGGUCACCUCGACCUGCCCGUUUGACUGUGGAUGAGCCACCAAAGUCUUUCUGUGUUGAACCUCCAACUCCUUCAGAAAUCCUUCAAACUUCGAUCCC
rnacentral:lncRNA from 1 species